AAGUCGAGCGAACAGACGAGGAGCUUGCUCCUCUGACGUUAGCGGCGGACGGGUGAGUAACACGUGGGUAACCUACCUAUAAGACUGGGAUAACUCCGGGAAACCGGGGCUAAUACCGGAUAACACAUGAAACCGCAUGGUUUCAUGAUGAAAGACGGUUUUGCUGUCACUUAUAGAUGGACCCGCGGCGUAUUAGCGUAGUUGGUAAGGUAACGGCUUACCAAGGCAACGAUACGUAGCCGACCUGAGAGGGUGAUCGGCCACACUGGAACUGAGACACGGUCCAGACUCCUACGGGAGGCAGCAGUAGGGAAUCUUCCGCAAUGGGCGAAAGCCUGACGGAGCAACGCCGCGUGAGUGAUGAAGGUCUUCGGAUCGUAAAACUCUGUUAUUAGGGAAGAACAAGGAUGUAAGUAACUGUGCAUCCCUUGACGGUACCUAAUCAGAGAGCCACGGCUAACUACGUGCCAGCAGCCGCGGUAAUACGUAGGUGGCAAGCGUUAUCCGGAAUUAUUGGGCGUAAAGCGCGCGUAGGCGGUUUUUAAGUCUGAUGUGAAAGCCCACGGCUCAACCGUGGAGGGUCAUUGGAAACUGGAAAACUUGAGUGCAGAAGAGGAAAGUGGAAUUCCAUGUGUAGCGGUGAAAUGCGCAGAGAUAUGGAGGAACACCAGUGGCGAAGGCGACUUUCUGGUCUGCAACUGACGCUGA
rnacentral:rRNA from 1 species